rnacentral:lncRNA from 1 species
GGGAAGGGCCAGACAGAUGGAGGUAAGGGAGGAGAGGAAUGUGGGGGAGGAGGAAGAGGGGUUAGAGGGAGGAGACAGAGGCUGGAGGUUUCCAAGUGAAAUGUUGGGGAGAACUUAGAAUGCUAGCAAGUAAUCUUGUCUGUGCAAAAGGAAGAGAGAAGCCCAAAGGACAAGCUGUUUCUUAUAAUGUAUGGUGGCUGCAAAGAACCUCUUAGUUUUAAGAUUUGACAGUCUGCUGUCUGCCAAAGGGAACAGGGCAAGCUGACUGCUAGUGUGACUGGUAUCUGAAGCACACAAAAGAAAACAUUUCCAAUCUGUAUCAUAUUUUUCACUGGGAGUGUUCUAAGGCGCUGAUGAACUAGAAAAAGGAAGAUGGAUGUGGCAGAAGGAUUGUUUCUGAGACCAUGACAUGAUGAAGAAUUCAAGUCUCAAAAAAGCACAGGAAAGCCAGAGCUGAAGUCCAUGUAUCAAAUACUCCCAAACAUUCCAGCCAUUCCUCUUAAUGCUCUGUCCUCCCCAAAAGGGGCGAACCAGAAUCUAAAAUAUUAUCUGUAGCUUCUUGGGAAUAAAAUUU